rnacentral:rRNA from 1 species
AUCAUCCUACGGAACGCAGCAGUGGGGAAUAUUGCACAAUGGGGGAAACCCUGAUGCAGCGACGCCGCGUGAAGGAAGAAGUAUUUCGGUAUGUAAACUUCUAUCAGCAGGGAAGAAAACGACGGUACCUGACUAAGAAGCCCCGGCUAACUACGUGCCAGCAGCCGCGGUAAUACGUAGGGGGCAAGCGUUAUCCGGAUUUACUGGGUGUAAAGGGAGCGUAGGCGGAGAUGCAAGUCAGAAGUGAAAGCCAGGGGCUCAACUCCGGGACUGCUUUUGAAACUGUGUUGCUAGAUUGCAGGAGG